GCACCCGUAGCUCAGCUGGAUAGAGCGUCAGCUUGCGGAGCUGAAGGCCGCACGUUCAAGUCGUGCCGGGUGCGCCA
rnacentral:tRNA from 3 species